rnacentral:rRNA from 1 species
CUACGGGGCGCAGCAGUGAGGAAUUUUGCGCAAUGGGGGGAACCCUGACGCAGCAACGCCGCGUGAGUGAUGAAGGCUUUCGGGUCGUAAAGCUCUGUCAAGUGGGAAGAACCUAUGCAGUGUUAAUAUCACUGUAUACUGACGGUACCACUGAAGGAAGCACCGGCUAACUCCGUGCCAGCAGCCGCGGAAUACGGGGGGUGCAAGCGUUAUUCGGAAUCAUUGGGCGUAAAGGGCACGUAGGCGGCUUGGUAAGUCAGAUGUGAAAGCCCGGGGCUUAACCCCGGAAGUGCAUUUGAUACUGUCAGGCUUGAGUAUGGGAGAGGGAAGUGGAAUUCCUGGUGUAGAGGUGAAAUUCGUAGAUAUCAGGAGGAACACCGGUGGCGAAGGCGACUUCCUGGACCAAUACUGACGCUGAGGUGCGAAGGCGUGGGUGGCAAACAGGAUUAGAUACCCCGGUAGUC